GAUGAACGCUGGCGGCGUGCCUAACACAUGCAAGUCGAGCGGGAUCUUUUUAAAUGACGCUUCGGUUGAUUUUAAAAAGUGAGAGCGGCGGACGGGUGAGUAACGCGUAGGCAACCUGCCCUUUGCAGAGGGAUAGCCAUUGGAAACGAUGAUUAAAACCUCAUAAUGCCAGACUGAGACAUCUCUAACUGGCCAAAGAUUUAUCGGCAAAGGAUGGGCCUGCGUCUGAUUAGCUAGUUGGUGGGGUAACGGCCUACCAAGGCGACGAUCAGUAGCCGACCUGAGAGGGUGAUCGGCCACAUUGGAACUGAGACACGGUCCAAACUCCUACGGGAGGCAGCAGUGGGGAAUAUUGCACAAUGGGCGAAAGCCUGAUGCAGCAACGCCGCGUGAAGGAAGAAGGUCUUCGGAUCGUAAACUUCUGUCCUUAGGGAAGAUAAUGACGGUACCUUGGUAGGAAGCCCCGGGCUAACUACGUG
rnacentral:rRNA from 1 species